CAUCUCCCUUACGCUGAGAAGACGCCCAUGCAAAAUUGGGCCAUCCUG
rnacentral:tRNA from 1 species